UACGGAGGGAGCUAGCGUUGUUCGGAUUUACUGGGCGUAAAGCGCGCGUAGGCGGCUUUGUAAGUUAGAGGUGAAAGCCCGGAGCUCAACUCCGGAACUGCCUUUAAAACUGCAUCGCUUGAAUCCAGGAGAGGUGAGUGGAAUUCCGAGUGUAGAGGUGAAAUUCGUAGAUAUUCGGAAGAACACCAGUGGCGAAGGCGGCUCACUGGACUGGUAUUGACGCUGAGGUGCGAAAGCGUGGGGAGCAAACAGG
rnacentral:rRNA from 1 species